CCCAAGCCACACUCUGCACUAAUGCACUCAUGAGCCAGUGAAUUAUACGUUUUUGCGUUCUGUCUCACCCCAGUGUCUACAAGGAAACUCGGGCCCUGAAGAAAGGCAGAUUCCAGCAUGGGCCCUCUCCCCUGACUGGCACCUCCCUCAUCCUAAAUAUGGCAAACUGCAUUUUCACACCAGGUGUGACUUAUGUCAUCUCCAACCUUGAUGAAGUACCUGCCAUCUUGAUUUUUUCCCAUCUUUCCUCUCUGAAAGGCACUCAGCCCCACAUCAAUCUGCCUUGCAGCUGGAACCUGGAGACUGUUUCUACUGGAAAAGAAACCCACACAAGGAUGUCCUGCAGCCCACGUGGAAAGGACUUCCCAAGCCUUCCUGACCAGUCCCUCGGCAACAAAGCUGGAUACAUCUUCACAUCUGAAGAGGACCCCGACUCCCGAGUGGACGGCUUAGCUCACUUCUGGGGAUUUCAAGCUCCAAGUGACCCAGAAAAAGCAGCAGAUAGCAGCAGCACUUCCCCCAGACUCUGGACUGGGCUGAAUCACUGGGACCAAGGUUCAGCAGUACAGGGAACUCUCCAACUCUUCCCUUGGGCAUCAAUGAGGAAGCGCAUCUUGCCCAAAAAGGGGAGAUGGUGGAAUGCAGGCAUCAGAGGGGGCUUCCUUGACCACAUUGACCUCACAGUUAGAGCAGGUCCUGUGAUGUCUCUGAAAACUCACUGCCCCUGGAGCAGGACCUUCGGACCAAGCUUCAAUCCCUGGGGCCUUUGGCUAUUUUGCAAAAUGACUUAACUCCUUCCUGUUGCUGUUCCUCCCAAGCACUCCUCACUCUGGAAAUGUAUUUAAAGGCUGCCCGUUCUGCUCCUGCCCCUCUGGUGCUGUGUGGCCACCGUGUAUUGCAUUUCCCUUUGCUUCCAUUAAAGACCCUUGUUGAUGCUA